GUCGAGCUUUGUAACGUAGGCUUGUGACCCAAGUGGGGGCAACAAUGUGGUGGAAUGUUGGGUUGAUCUGGAACAAAGCAAUUACCUUUUUU
rnacentral:SRP_RNA from 1 species